AGUGAACGCUGGCGGUAGGCCUAACACAUGCAAGUCGAACGGCAGCACAGUAAGAGCUUGCUCUUACGGGUGGCGAGUGGCGGACGGGUGAGGAAUACAUCGGAAUCUACUUUUUCGUGGGGGAUAACGUAGGGAAACUUACGCUAAUACCGCAUACGACCUACGGGUGAAAGCAGGGGAUCUUCGGACCUUGCGCGAUUGAAUGAGCCGAUGUCGGAUUAGCUAGUUGGCGGGGUAAAGGCCCACAAAGGCGACGAUCCGUAGCUGGUCUGAGAGGAUGGUCAGCCACACUGGAACUGAGACACGGUCCAGCCUCCUACGGGAGGCAGCAGUGGGGAAUAUUGGACAAUGGGCGCAAGCCUGAUCCAGCCAUACCGCGUGGGUGAAGAAGGCCUUCGGGUUGUAAAGCCCUUUUGUUGGGAAAGAAAAGCAGCAGGUUAAUACCCCGCUGUUCUGACGGUACCCAAAGAAUAAGCACCGGCUAACUUCGG
rnacentral:rRNA from 1 species